rnacentral:rRNA from 1 species
AAGCGUGGAGCAUGUGGUUUAAUUCGAGAUACGCGAGAACCUUACCUGGCCUUGACAUUGAUAGAAUCUGGUAGAGAUACUGGAGUGCUAGCUUGCUAGAACUUGAAAACAGGUGCUGCACGGCUGUCGUCAGCUCGUGUCGUGAGAUGUUGGGUUAAGUCCCGCAACGAGCGCAACCCUCGUCGUUAGUUGCUAACAGUUAGGCUGAGAACUCUAACGAGACUGCCUUCGUAAGGAGGAGGAAGGUGAGGACGACGUCAAGUCAUCAUGGCCCUUACGGCCAGGGCUACACACGUGCUACAAUGGGGUGUACAGAAAGCUGCAAUAUCGCGAGAUGGAGCAAAUCUCAAAAACACCUCCCAGUUCGGAUUGUUCUCUGCAACUCGAGAACAUGAAGUUGGAAUCGCUAGUAAUCGUAGAUCAGCAUUGCUACGGUGAAUACGUUCCCGGGUCUU